UCCUUCUCCCUGCCCUCCUCCCCCCGGCUCCUCUGUCUUACAUAAAUAAAUAUCUUUUAAAAAACAAUACUGUGAUGCAUAUUUGAAAGGUGCUAAGAAAACAGAUCUUAAAAGUUCUUAUCACUAAAAAAAAAAUCUAACUAUGUAAGGUGACAGAUGUUAACUAGACUUAUUGUGGUGAUUACUUUGCAAUAUAUAUCAAAUUAUGAUUUGUAUGCCUGAAAUUAAUAUAAUAAUAUUACCUGUCAAUUAAGUCUUGAUUUAAAAAAUAAUUUUAAAAAGAGAAAUUACAACACGGCCUGAGGGAUGACCAUGUGAGGACGCGGUGAGAAAGCGGUCAUCUGCAAGCCAAGGAGAGAGACCUCAGAAGAAACUAAACCUGCUGACAUCUUAGUCUUGGCCUUCUAACCUGCAGAACUGUGAGAUAAUAAACUUGUUUAAGCCAUCCGUCCUGAGGCAUUUGUCACGGCAGCUCUAGAGGACUAACACAGUGGUCCUUCCAGGUGUCUGCAAAUGGAUCAGUAUAUGUGACCGGGGCUGGUGGUCCUUUCUGUUCAAGCCACGAUAUUCACCACAUUGUGCCCAGGGAAAGUGACCCUCCCUAAGCACACCGGAUCUGUCACCACAUUCUGAACACAUAGUGACCAGAGAUAUCUGGACACAGCCUCCCUGAUAGCACAUUUAUUCCCUCUAGAUGCGGAGGAGGGUGGCAUUUUACACAGUGAAGAAGGCCCGAAUUCGACAACCGUGCCCUUCACAUAUGCUCUGUCUGAAGAAAGCCUUACUUUCGUGUCAAGAUCCUAUGGUGUAACCCAUGUGGAAAGGACAGACACAACUACCUGUCUCCAGCUGAAUUAACCAGGAAAUGUUGGCCAGGAGAAAGGCAGCCAGAUGGAAGUGGGGAGCAACAGGCUCUGAAGGGGCUUGACUCAAACCUCCACUCAACAGGGGUCCUCAGGCUGAAUGGACACAAGCUGGUCCACAUAGAGGCAGGAGUGCUGGGUGUACUCGGGUGGGUAAGUCACAGUGCUUUAUCCACGGUGCUUACAGUGCACCCCAGUUUCGGCAGCACUGGGGACCACAGAAUCCUCACAGCCCCUGGCUCUUAAAACAAACCCUGCCAGCAAGGUUAACUGGGGGCAAGUCUCUUCUGAUGAGAGUAAUGACUCAGACUGGUACUGGGUGAUACUAUUCUUUUCCCCAAAGAACCUAUGACUGAUGAUCUAGUCGCCAAUCAAACCACCCACCACACCACAGUUUGUAGAGUAUAAAUUUCCAAAGCCAUCCAAAAGAAAUGUCGUGCAAGCCACACGUUAUUUUAAAUGUCCUACAAGGUACAUUUUAAAAGAAAAACAGGUCAGAUGAAUGUUAAUGAUAUAUUUCACUUAACCCAGUAUAUCCAAAAUAUUGUCAUGUCAACAGGUAAUCAAUAUGAAAUUAUUUUUUUUAAGAUUUUGGUUAUUUAUUCAAAACAAAAUCAGAAUCUGAUUUUCUCACACAGCCAUAUUCUGUGUGAGAAACACACAGAGAGAGAGGUAGAGACACAGGAGAGGGAGAAGCAGGCUCCCUGCGGGGAGCCCAGUAUGGGACUCAAUCCCAGGACCCCAGGAUCAUGCCCCGAGCCGAAGGCAGACGCUCAACCGCUGAGCCACCCAGAUGCCCCAAAUAUGAAAUCAUUAAUGAGAUAUUUUACAACCCUUUUCCCCCCAUAUUGUCUUAAAUUCAGUGUAUUUUAUACCACACCUUCCAAUUUGGAUACCAAAAUUUCACUGGAAACAUGGUAUUUAGAUUGCACAAAAUUUACUGUUGGAAAAAGAAAGAUCAUAUCCCUGUUGUUUCAAACAUAAAAGUUUUCAGUAACUGAAAGCAGUAGCGGCUUCUUAAUUCAAAUUUAAUGAAAAUGAAAUACAAUUGCGAUUCAGUCAUAUCAGCCCCAUUUCAAGGGCUCCGUAGCUGCAUGUGGUUGGAGGCUGCUGUACUGGACAACACAGGUCCAGCGAGCUAGAAAUGCGUCUUCUAAUUGCUUCUACAAAUUGUUUAAUGUGACACUAGGCACAGUGGAGGUGCUCAAUAAAUCAUAGCAUCAGAGCAAUUGGAAACUUCAAAAAUCCACAAGGCUCAGUAGCCCAAUUCCUUUGUUUGAAAAGGGAGGCCACCCAGAGUGAGAGACGUGAAGGGGCUAAUGGAAGAGCACACGAGUGAACUAGUUGGUGCAUAUCUGGACAAGAGUUUAGGUCUCCUGAUCCUCAGUCCUGAUGUCUUUAUAUGUCAUUAUAUCAGCCAUAUUUCAGGGGGAAAAAAUCCAGAUUUUUAAAUUUAUUUGAAUAAUCAUUUGCAUGAUGUGGGCGAAGGAAAACAUUCUUAUAUCCUAGGUACUUGCUAACCUGAUAAAGACAGUGCGCUCUAGGUGACCUCGGGGCUCCUUCCACUUGGUCUGGGGUCUAGGUGGUUUAAUCUGUCAAUCCCUCUCACCUCGGCCUGUCCCCCCUUGGAGCUGCCUCACUGCACAUCCCUCCUGCCCUUCCCCAGAGCAUCCGGCCACAUGUUUUGGUCCACAGCUGUCCUCUGCCAGCUGUCUACACAAUUUGCUUAACGUUGUGCUUCAGAGAAUCCCUUAUAUUUGCAAAUCAAAGUAUUCAGUAAAAACUGCAGCAAAGUCGUAGAAGAGCUGAUACCCCCCAGCCUUGAACAGAGCCCUGCGGUCCUGCCUCAUGUUAGCUGUGAAAGAGAGGAUGUAUGCAUGGUUAAGUGUGUGACACCAGGCAGACCUGCAUUCGUGUCUCAGUUCAGCCCAGUUCCAGUUGUGUGACUGUGGCAGCCCUCAGUUUCCUCAUCUGUAAAAUGAGGAUAAUAAAAAUAAGAGCUACUUCUCUGAGGUUUAAAUAUGAUAGUGCACACGGAGUACAUUGUUGGACAAGGGUAAGGCCUCGGUUCGUGAGCUGUUGGUAUUUUCCAGGGGCCUCCAGGCUCUCCCAAGAGAGAGACAUAUACAUAUGUCUGGCUCACUACUGCACCUGGUGACUAGCAAAAUGCUUGAGAUAUAGUAGGUCCUAAAUGAAUGUGUGUCUAAUGACUUUAUAAGACACUUACGGUUUUUCUCACCUCUUAUGACUGAUGCCAAGAGAAAUAAUUAGGGCAAAAAUAUGGUAAAGUCGGUGAUAAGGAAAGGGGAGAGGGAGGUGGCUGCUUCUGCCUUCAGCAUCCACCUGGUGGACGCACCCAGCACCCAAGUUCAAAGUGAAGCUGUAGAGUCAGCAAAUGUUGACGACAUCCAGAGCUGUGUGCGAUCAAGAAAUUGGAGUCACUAGUGUUUAAAAGGAAGUGUAGGUAUUGAGUAGAACAAAGAAAUAAAUGUAGGGUGUAAAGUUGUCAUUUAUUUGAUUUGAGUAAAUAAAUGUCUGCUAGUUCUCCUCCCAAAAUCUCCUUUCUUUUUGUUCUCCUAGGAAACCCCCUCUACCAAUGGCAUAUUCCAUGAAUGGUGACCUGAUGUCCCAGAGCACACAGCAGUGUAUGAUUCUGUUUUCCUGAGGCUACAGAAUGUGUCUUCUACAGAAGCAGGGGCAGUCCGGGUGGCUCAGCGGUUUAGCGCCUGCCUUCGGCCCAGGGCCUAAUCCUAG